rnacentral:tRNA from 2 species
GGAGAGGUGUUCAGCCUAGGCGGAUUGAAGGAGCACGCCUGGAAAGUGUGUAUACGGGAAACCGUAUCAAGGGUUCGAAUCUCUUCCUCUCUG